UUAAGCGACUAAGCGUACACGGUGGAUGCCCUGGCAGUCAGAGGCGAUGAAGGACGUGCUAAUCUGCGAAAAGCGCCGGCGAGGUGAUAUGAACCUUUGACCCGGCGAUGUCCGAAUGGGGAAACCCAGUGCAAUUCGUUGCACUAUCGUUAACUGAAUACAUAGGUUAACGAGGCGAACCGGGGGAACUGAAACAUCUAAGUACCCCGAGGAAAAGAAAUCAACCGAGAUUCCCCCAGUAGCGGCGAGCGAACGGGGAGCAGCCCAGAGUCUGAAUCAGCUUGUGUGUUAGUGGAAGCGUCUGGAAAGUCGCACGGUACAGGGUGACAGUCCCGUACACGAAAGCACACAGGUUGUGAACUCGAAGAGUAGGGCGGGACACGUGGUAUCCUGUCUGAAUAUGGGGGGACCAUCCUCCAAGGCUAAAUACUCCUGACUGACCGAUAGUGAACCAGUACCGUGAGGGAAAGGCGAAAAGAACCCCGGCGAGGGGAGUGAAAAAGAACCUGAAACCGUGUACGUACAAGCAGUGGGAGCACCUUCGUGGUGUGACUGCGUACCUUUUGUAUAAUGGGUCAGCGACUUAUAUUCUGUAGCAAGGUUAACCGUAUAGGGGAGCCGAAGGGAAACCGAGUCUUAACUGGGCGUUAAGUUGCAGGGUAUAGACCCGAAACCCGGUGAUCUAGCCAUGGGCAGGUUGAAGGUUGGGUAACACUAACUGGAGGACCGAACCGACUAAUGUUGAAAAAUUAGCGGAUGACUUGUGGCUGGGGGUGAAAGGCCAAUCAAACCGGGAGAUAGCUGGUUCUCCCCGAAAGCUAUUUAGGUAGCGCCUCGUGAACUCAUCUUCGGGGGUAGAGCACUGUUUCGGCUAGGGGGCCAUCCCGGCUUACCAACCCGAUGCAAACUACGAAUACCGAAGAAUGUUAUCACGGGAGACACACGGCGGGUGCUAACGUCCGUCGUGAAGAGGGAAACAACCCAGACCGCCAGCUAAGGUCCCAAAGUCAUGGUUAAGUGGGAAACGAUGUGGGAAGGCACAGACAGCCAGGAUGUUGGCUUAGAAGCAGCCAUCAUUUAAAGAAAGCGUAAUAGCUCACUGGUCGAGUCGGCCUGCGCGGAAGAUGUAACGGGGCUAAACCAUGCACCGAAGCUGCGGCAGCGACGCUUAUGCGUUGUUGGGUAGGGGAGCGUUCUGUAAGCCGUUGAAGGUGUGCUGUGAGGCAUGCUGGAGGUAUCAGAAGUGCGAAUGCUGACAUAAGUAACGAUAAAGCGGGUGAAAAGCCCGCUCGCCGGAAGACCAAGGGUUCCUGUCCAACGUUAAUCGGGGCAGGGUGAGUCGACCCCUAAGGCGAGGCCGAAAGGCGUAGUCGAUGGGAAACAGGUUAAUAUUCCUGUACUUGGUGUUACUGCGAAGGGGGGACGGAGAAGGCUAUGUUAGCCGGGCGACGGUUGUCCCGGUUUAAGCAUGUAGGCGGAGGUUCCAGGUAAAUCCGGUACCUUUUAACGCUGAGGUGUGAUGACGAGGCACUACGGUGCUGAAGUAACAAAUGCCCUGCUUCCAGGAAAAGCCUCUAAGCAUCAGGUAACACGAAAUCGUACCCCAAACCGACACAGGUGGUCAGGUAGAGAAUACCAAGGCGCUUGAGAGAACUCGGGUGAAGGAACUAGGCAAAAUGGUGCCGUAACUUCGGGAGAAGGCACGCUGAUAUGUAGGUGAAGCCCCUGCGGGUGGAGCUGAAAUCAGUCGAAGAUACCAGCUGGCUGCAACUGUUUAUUAAAAACACAGCACUGUGCAAACACGAAAGUGGACGUAUACGGUGUGACGCCUGCCCGGUGCCGGAAGGUUAAUUGAUGGGGUUAGCGGCAACGCGAAGCUCUUGAUCGAAGCCCCGGUAAACGGCGGCCGUAACUAUAACGGUCCUAAGGUAGCGAAAUUCCUUGUCGGGUAAGUUCCGACCUGCACGAAUGGCGUAAUGAUGGCCAGGCUGUCUCCACCCGAGACUCAGUGAAAUUGAACUCGCUGUGAAGAUGCAGUGUACCCGCGGCAAGACGGAAAGACCCCGUGAACCUUUACUAUAGCUUGACACUGAACACUGGUCCUUGAUGUGUAGGAUAGGUGGGAGGCUUUGAAGCGUGGACGCCAGUCUGCGUGGAGCCAACCUUGAAAUACCACCCUUUAAUGGCUGGUGUUCUAACGUAGACCCGUAAUCCGGGUUGCGGACAGUGUCUGGUGGGUAGUUUGACUGGGGCGGUCUCCUCCCAAAGAGUAACGGAGGAGCACGAAGGUUAGCUAAUCCUGGUCGGACAUCAGGAGGUUAGUGCAAUGGCAUAAGCUAGCUUGACUGCGAGAGUGACGGCUCGAGCAGGUGCGAAAGCAGGUCAUAGUGAUCCGGUGGUUCUGAAUGGAAGGGCCAUCGCUCAACGGAUAAAAGGUACUCCGGGGAUAACAGGCUGAUACCGCCCAAGAGUUCAUAUCGACGGCGGUGUUUGGCACCUCGAUGUCGGCUCAUCACAUCCUGGGGCUGAAGUAGGUCCCAAGGGUAUGGCUGUUCGCCAUUUAAAGUGGUACGCGAGCUGGGUUUAGAACGUCGUGAGACAGUUCGGUCCCUAUCUGCCGUGGGCGCUGGAGAAUUGAGGGGGGCUGCUCCUAGUACGAGAGGACCGGAGUGGACGCAUCACUGGUGUUCGGGUUGUCAUGCCAAUGGCACUGCCCGGUAGCUAAAUGCGGAAAAGAUAAGUGCUGAAAGCAUCUAAGCACGAAACUUGCCCCGAGAUGAGUUCUCCCUGACCCUUUAAGGGUCCUGAAGGAACGUUGAAGACUACGACGUUGAUAGGUCGGGUGUGUAAGCGCAGCGAUGCGUUGAGCUAACCGAUACUAAUGAACCGUGAGGCUUAACCUU
rnacentral:rRNA from 1 species